rfam:Ancylostoma duodenale strain Zhejiang A_duodenale-1.0_Cont3729.2, whole genome shotgun sequence.
AGCUUUGCGCAGAGGCGAUAACGUGACCAAUGAGGCUUUGCCGAGGUGCGUGCUGGUUGACAACUUUUCCCAAUUGCCCGCGAUGGCCCCUGAAACACUGGAAUAAAUACUAACUCAGAAGCUCUCAUCAGACA